ensembl:lncRNA
AUCCUGUACAAAGAAGCUUCAGUAGCUCCUCAUCACACUUUGAGACUUAAAGCUCCAACAUGAUCUUGCUCCUCUUCUUGUUCGGUCUGGCUCUGGGUGCUCCUUCUGAGUCUCCUUCUGAUGGCAGUGACGUGAAGCUACAGCUUGGAAUGGAGUCCGCUGUGCAGGUCACCAAAUACUACUGACACAAGCCUGCCACAGCAGUCACAUGUCUCUGGGUCCAGUACUAAGUGAGGAUCCUCUUGAUUGUGUGGAGUUCAUUCUGUCUUUGUUUAAUGGAGCAACUCAGGAGUUUUCACCUGUUAGAGCUCUGACCUGUCCUGUUUGAUUAGUCAUUGUGCUGAUAAAGCCUUUAUGGUACAAUAAAUAUAAAUUAUACAUCAAA